rnacentral:lncRNA from 1 species
GAGGAAGUACUUAAGUAGUGUCAGUCCGUUAGCACAUACAUGAAACUGAGCGGUAAGGUUAUCGUCCCCGAUUGUCCGAACUCAGAAACAAAAUAAGAAUGGAUACGCCAAACAGAGCCCAAGACGGGCGGCGCGGCGAUGGCGGCCAUUCGAGGAUAUCGCCGAUCGAUUGGAGCCUGUCUAUGAAUCGGAACCGAUCGAUCCGCGGCAUCUCUGUGGCGGGCGCGCGCUGCCGUCCGUCUCGCAGCCAGCACCAAAGCUUUCUCCCGGCCUUCACUCGUCUGCUCGACCGAAGCUUCCAGCAGCUACAGUAAUGCAGUACGAGACCAAGCAGAUCCGGGGCAUCAUCCGACCGAGUCUCGUUUUGACAUGACGAAUUCCCUGAGAAAGGAAUGACGAAGAAAAGGAGUUGUAGCUUUGGUACUGCAAUCGGGUCAAGCAAGACCGCAACAGUAGCUCUGCUGGUGCUGAUUUGCGUAAAGAAGGGGGAGAAGCAAC